rnacentral:misc_RNA from 1 species
CACUAACCUGCUCGAGAUCCUCAACGUCCGCGUCAUCGGCGCCGGCGAGCGAGUCCUCGUCCUCUCCCACGGCUUCGGCACCGACCAGUCGGCGUGGAACCGCAUCCUCCCCUAUUUCCAGCGGGACCACCGCAUCGUCCUCUACGACCUCGCCUGCGCCGGCAGCGUUGAUCCCGAUAACUUCGACUUCCGCCGCUACAGCACGCUUGAGGCCUACGUUGAUGAUUUGCUGGAGAUUCUGGCGGCGCUGCGGGUUGAUCGGUGCGCGUUCGUUGGACACUCGGUGUCGGCGAUGAUCGGGAUCAAGGCGGCGAUCCGUCGGCCGGAUUUGUUCUCGAAGCUGGUGCUAAUCAAUGCCUCGCCGAGGUUCCUCAACGACGGCGUCGAAGGGUACCACGGCGGCUUCGAGCGAGGUGAGAUCGAGAAGG